GCCCAGAUGGCGGAAUCGGUAGACGCGCUGGUCUCAAACACCAGUGGGGCAACCCGUGCCGGUUCGAUCCCGGCUCUGGGUA
rnacentral:tRNA from 1 species